CAGUCGCCGCGGUAAUGCGAAGGGGGCUAGCGUUGUUCGGAUUUACUGGGCGUAAAGGGCGCGUAGGCGGACUGAUAAGUCAGGGGUGAAAUCCCAAGGCUCAACCUUGGAACUGCCUUUGAUACUGUUUGUCUUGAGUUCGAGAGAGGUAAGUGGAACUGCGAGUGUAGAGGUGAAAUUCGUAGAUAUUCGCAAGAACACCAGUGGCGAAGGCGGCUUACUGGCUCGAUACUGACGCUGAGGCGCGAAAGCGUGGGGGGCAAACAGGAUUAGAUACCCCAGUAGUCCCUGUCUCUUAUAA
rnacentral:rRNA from 1 species